rnacentral:rRNA from 1 species
AGAUUGAACGCUAGCGGGAUGCUUUACACAUGCAAGUCGAACGGCAGCGCGGACUUCGGUCUGGCGGCGAGUGGCGAACGGGUGAGUAAUAUAUCGGAACGUGCCCAGUAGCGGGGGAUAACUACGCGAAAGCGUGGCUAAUACCGCAUACGCCCGUACGGGGGAAAGGGGGGAUCGCAAGACCUCUCACCAUUGGAGCGGCCGAUAUCAGAUUAGCUAGUUGGUGAGGUAAAGGCUCACCAAGGCGACGAUCUGUAGCUGGUUGAGAGGACGACCAGCCACACGUGGGACUGACGACACCGGCCCAGACCUCCGUACGGGAGGCAGCGAGGUAGGGUAA